GUAAAAUGUAUGUAUUAACAUUAUGUAAGGAAUUAUGGACUUUCAUUGAUAUUUGGCUGCACAGUCUGCCCAUACAGCUAUCUACCAGUCUCCUAUGUAAACUAAGCAUUGUGGAAUUAGAACCAAAGGAAGCCCCAUUUUCAUAGAAAUAAUACAAAGGGGUGGGAAGCCCAUGGGAGGGGAAGGACAGCAUGAGAUUAUCCUGUUGUUCAUUGAAUGUUGGAAGAUAUAAGCAAGGACAGAAGUUAUCUUUGACAUUUAUCACUAGACAGACACAAGAGGCCAGAGCCCUUACAAGCUGAGAACGAUGGGGCUUUCAAUCAAGGGGAUAGAGGGACUUGAAAUAUCUGGAGUUUAAUAUAGGCAAGAAGCCUUUGUAGGCAAAGAUCUUUCACUUAGCCACUUGUGCUUUCUUUGAAGGUCUUGACUGAAAGUCAACCAUGGCUGGGAAGAAGAAUGAUUAGUGAGAGAAAAAAUCUUGAACAAAGCCUGUAUCUUGCUAGAUUGAGUUUUAGAUUUUUAGAUGUGUGUCUUUACUUGUAUUUGCUUGUAACACUUUCUAACUUUAUUCCUUUUUAUUUAGCAUAACCUAUGUUCUGUUAAUACUUUUGUUUUAUUUUACUAUAAACCAACUUAGUGCUGUCCUUAAAGAAAAGGGUAUAUUUAGCCCAGUAAACAGAAUAUGCUGUAUUGCGUCUUUGUGUCGGUAGAGGAACAAAUGAACCAUAUUAUUUCUUUAAACUAUUCAGAAGAGGAUUAGACUUACAGAGCACAUGGUUUUGGGGAAAUUCAGGAGUGCUCGUUCACUCUGAAAGUAGUAAUCAAGGCUAUUGGAAGCUGCUGUGGGCUGUAGACAGGCUGCUGGCAUCAGAGCUGCUGAACCAGGGCUGUUUAGUACACAGAUGCUCAGGGUUUGCAUGCUGGUAGGCUGGUUGGGAGCAGCCCAGUUUGGGAGCUAUAGCAACAAGGCAUUGUGAGGUGCCGCAGGUUACAGGGCAGGUAGUGUUACCAGAGGUUUUCACUUGUUUGAAUCCUGUAUAGAUUGCAAUACCCUGGAUAGAGAUACUGACAGUCGAGGGUGGGGAGGAGAGUGAGGAACAUCAUGAACAAUUCACCUCUCCCAAUUAACAUUACAAAGCUAGGGAUAGUGUUAGAAUGCUUUAGUUAGCUUUAGACCUUACAGUGCUGAAACUUUCUUGGCUCAGGGGUGUGAAAAAACACACCCCUGAGAUAUGCAAGUUUGGGUGCUGUAAAGGUCAACCAAUCAGAGGAGACCAGAAACUGAAUAUAAGUGGCAAGCUAGAGUGUAUGGUGGAUGAGAGAGAGUGGAGAAGAUCGGGAGGAGGGCAGGAGAUCAAGAGAAGGCAACCAGACAGCAGUGCGUAGUUGAGAGCGGAGAUUGAAGGGGAAGGUCAGAGCAGAGAUUGACAGAGCAAAAGGACCCCGUCAAUCAGAGGGAUUGGAGUACAGGGCCUAAGAGAGAUGCCAUGCUGAGGUCUGGGAAAGGGGCGAAUGACCAUGAAGAGUUAAGAGAGACAACGUGAGUGAGGUAAUAGCCUUUACUGGACCAACUUCUCUUGGUGAAAGAGACAAACCUUCCAGCUACACGGACCUCUUCUUCAGGUCAUGAAGAUGUAAGAAAUUUAAUCCUGUUUAAACAAGAGAAUAGGUACAUGAUUCACCUUGGGUAGCUGGAUUUUGCUUAGACUUCUGUAUAGUGAUGUUUUAUUCAAUUAAUUUCUAUUUGGUUUUAGAUAUUUUCUUUAUUUUCCUACCUUAAACUGUUUUUUAUUUAAGACAGUUUGGCAUUAGAGACUGUUAUUUGGGAUCAAGCAUUCCAGGACAUUCUGGAAGGAAGAAGCCAAACCUCUAACCUCAGAGGAAGCUGAGUGGAGGUAGAGAUACCAACCUGAGGACUCAAAGACAUGGUUAUGGAGGGCAUUCCCCCAAAGGCAUUUGUAACCCCUGCCUGCUUGGAGUGACACUUUGUCCCCCUCUAGCGGUGAUUGUGCCAGCUAGAGAUUGAUGAGCCAGCUAAAGCCUUGGCUAAGAGAAUGGUGUCUUUUGGUUCAUGCAGUAGAAGCUCAUGCAUUUAGUUUUGUUCCCCACUGCUGACACUCCUGUGUGGGUUGGCAUUACAAGUGGUGAACCAUACAGGGAAUUCAGGCAAUUCAACUGGAAAAGUCUCUGAAGCUCAGGGAUGCCCUUAUAAUCAUAGAAUCAUAGAAGAUUAGGGUUGGAAGAGACCUCUGGAGGUCAUCUAGUCCAACCCCCCGCUCAAAGCAGGACCAACCCCAACUAAAUCAUCCCAGCCAGUGUUGACAGAUUUUAGGAAGGUCGGAGAACAGUCAAGAUAAUUGUCUCCCAGCCCUCAUCUAUCAUCAGGGUUUAAGAUCACCCAAAAUAAAAACCAACAAGGGAAUGUUGGAGUAAAAUGCAGGUAUGUUUAUUAGACUAACAGUCAAACAAGGUAAAUAAACGGGAUAUGCUGUAAAGGACUGCCAACACAGUUAAGUAAGGUAAUUGGGUAAAGAUGACACUAUAACUAUACUGACUGUGACCAAAAAGGGUUUACUCCCUCUCCAAGAUGGGUCCCAGGUAAGAGGUAUGGGGAACUUGAAAGGUCUCUACCUUUCUUGCAGCUUGUGUCUGGAGCUUCACGAUCUCAUGAUGCAGAUUGGGUCCGGAACAGACCAGGUGACUCAGCGGGGUGAGGAGUGGACCUCAGGCAACAGGUAGGUGGUAACUCUGCUUGAUGCUGGUGAUUCUUCUUUCUCCUACCCUGCAUCGGUGUGGCUGCAAGUAAGAUCCAGCUUCACGGGGCUAUAAUGGGAGUUGGAUUGCAUGCCUGUGCCUAUGCAAUGGCAUAGGAGGGAGUAAGGGAUCCUUGUGUAUCGCUGCAUAAAACGUGAAUCUUGAAUGCACCUGCUUUCUCCUGUACUCAGCAGCUGGGUAAGGAGUGGAUUGUGAUGGGCUGAGCCUUGACUCCAGCUCUAUUUGCAUGCCAGCUCAGAUGAGACAUUGCCUGAGGUGUCAUAAUUUGCUGCUGGUAUAGAAAAUCCUUCCCUGCAAGCAAGGAAAGAAUUGUGAUGGUGUCAGUGUGUUCCUCAGAAAUGAUGCUAUGUCCCAUAAAAUCGUGGUUUGCAUUGAACCUUGUUAGAAGUAUAAUCAUCAUUUGAAGAAAAAUGUCCUUUAGAAGAAUAACCAGGAAACCUGCAUAUAAAUUACAUUGUCUUUUCAGGAGAAACCCUCCUCCACCUCUCCCGCAUGAUUCUAAAAUACACUAAAAAUAGAAAUUUUACUCAUAUA